UGAAACAUUCCCAGACAGCCUCCUUAAAAACAUAUUUUACUCAAAGCACACCAUAUUCAGUAAAUAAUAAAACAUUACAAAAAGACAAAAAUAGGUUAUUUGAAAGUAUUAGUUGACUAAUUAGUUAUUUAAACAAAAAAAAAAUCAACUGCAUUCUGUAAUUCCAAGUAAUCAGUUAUUACACGUCAAGGACUUGACAUAUGCAAAUAAUAAUAAAAUAAAAUCACAGCCAUUUUGCCAUGUUGCAAGCAGACUGGUUUUUACUGGCCUUUGUCAUUUCAUUCUCAAACAAAUAUAUAAAUAUGGAAUAACAUUAAAAACCAGGUAACAUGAGAAAAAAUUUAAUGUUUGAGUAGUAUAAAAUGAAAAACAAACAAACAAAAAAACACUAUAAAAAAAAGUUUUCCCAUUACACAUUAAAUGCAGGAGCACCACAGAGUUCACUAGUAUAAUAGUGUAAGGACAGAUUUUACUGGUCCCAGGUCUGAGUCAAGUCUCUAGUGUUCAGUCAGAGACUAAGAAUGAGAUUGUUAGAAAAUGGAGUCUGCGUUGUUUUGAAGGUAACUUCUGUGCCAUUUGUGCUUACGCAAAAUCAGCAAAGGCCAAAACAUGAUGCAAUGAGAGUAAAUGUGCCCCCCUGAAAUACUGCAGAGAGAAUAUUUUUGAAAGUUUGUUGAUAUCCAAGCAGACACAAUUAUUUAUGAGAUAUGGUACAUAUACGUUUUAAUCUGAUUCCAUUCUAAUACACACACAUUUUAUUUGGUCCUUUGAAGUCUCGAGGUAUGGCGGUUUCCAGGCAUUACAUAAAAUCAAGCUCCUACUGGACAACAGAAAAUUAUAAGUGGAUUAAUAUACAAAUACAAAUGAAUUAACUGCUAAACUUGUCGAGCCAUAUCUUUCGAAAGCUGAAUCAUUCAUUUGAGGUAACUUUCUUCUCCGAGACAGUCAACAAGAUGCAGACAAAAACAUAAUAUUUCAAGAUGUCUUCUAAAAGGUCAUUUAGCAUAUCUUUCAUUUUGCAUUUGAGAACCCAGUGACUAAAAAUCAUCAAAUCAUCAUCAAGACUGGCUUCACUAAAGCAGCCAGUUGUCAAAUAUAACGUCCACAUAUCUUCACUACAGUUUAAUCCACCGCUCUUUAUCACUUAAUUUACAAAAACUGACAUGGUCUAUUUUGGGAUAGACCUAAAACUAUUGAUCUAUCUUGUUUACAUGUGACAUUAUCCCAAAGAUGACUCAUAACUAUUAUUAUCAACUGCUAAAAAAAAA